CUACGGGUUGCUCCAGUGGGGAAUAUUGCACAAUGGGCGAAAGCCUGAUGCAGCGACGCCGCGUGGAGGAUGAAGGUCUUCGGAUUGUAAACUCCUGUUAAGUGGGAAGAAAUCUUUGCAAGUAAUAUUUGCAAAGGAUGACGGUACCACUAGAGAAAGCUCCGGCUAACUUCGUGCCAGCAGCCGCGGUAAUACGAAGGGAGCGAGCGUUAUUCGGAAUUACUGGGUGUAAAGGGCGCGUAGGCGGUUAGUUAAGUCAGCCGUUAAAUUCCUUGGCCCAACCAAGGUUCGGCAGUUGAUACUGGUUGACUAGAGGGCAAGAGAGAGAAGUGGAAUUCUCGGAGUAGCGGUAAAAUGCGUAGAUCUCGAGAGGAACACCAGUUGCGAAGGCGGCUUCUUGGCUUGUCCCUGACGCUAAAGCGCGAAAGCGUGGGGAGCAAACAGGAUUAGAUACCCCUGUAGUC
rnacentral:rRNA from 1 species